UCGUGGCAGUUAGUGUAGCGACCGUGGUGCGAACGCGCUUGAAGGCGCGACGCCGUCUAGCCGCGCUGUAGAAUUUUGUCGUAGGUACCUUUUUUUCACGGGCGUACGCGCGCGUCCGCGACGCUUCCCUUAUUAUUACCGCAAUUACGGCGUUCGUUUGUUAUCGUUAUUAUUAUUAUCAUUAUAAUAUUUUGGAGUGCAUUUGUGUGCGACCGUCGUGUUCGCGAUUCACGUUCGUCCGGCCGUUUUCUGCAUUCUUUCCCAUUCCCCCUUUCCCCCUGCCGUUCGUUUCCCUGAUUUUCGCGCGAGCGCGUUUUCCUUCUCCCUCCUCCCCCAGGGCGGGAUAAAAUUCUCGCCGGCGAAGGGAAAAAAAAGGGAAACGGAAGGAGCGCGAUGUGGCGAACACCGCCGCCGCUGCCGCCGCCGCCGACGACGACGACGACGACGACGACGAGGAUGAUAUGUCGCGACGCGCGGUCGAGUCAGUGAGUGUGCGGCGAUCACGAGUGUUGAUCAAGGUGUUGGCGGCGAUCGACGACGGGCGUUUAGUAUGACGACCAGCUGACGGAUGUAUCAUCUCGCUAUCACCCCACGGCGUCGGCGGGGCUGACGAUUGAGCGGACAGUGGAAGGAUGCUGGGUGGCGUGGGAGGUCGGCACGUGUCUACGCGUCGGCGUGGCAGCAAUCCGGUGGUGCGUGGAAGUUUGGGCCUCAUCUAUGGCGCUACACCCGGUGGAAACGCGAGCGAUGGUGGUGCGAUGCAUUUGGAAACGCUACCCCGUUAUGUCGCCAGGAGAGGCCGACGGAGGGCUGUCACCACCAGCGAUCACAAGAGCUGCGCCCUUAUACAGACACGGCUCAAGCUUGGCGAUAUUAUGUUGGCAGCAGCGCAAGAGGCGGCACAAAGGGACGCUGGACACGCGAGCCAGUAUUACGGGAGAAGGUCGAGGUUGGCCGGAUUGAGGAGUGGUCUCGGUGACUGGACUAGCUUCGGAGGGGAGGUACCUGGUCUGGUGGACAUGGCACCAAACCGGGAUCAGGGUGGAGGGGCGGGUGGCGGUGGGGGAGGCGGCAAGGGUACCACAUCGUUGUUCAUCUUUUCGGAGGAUAAUUGCAUACGGAAGUACACGCGCUUUAUCAUCGAGUGGCCGCCCUUCGAGUACGCCGUCCUGCUCACCAUCAUCGCCAAUUGCGUGGUCCUCGCCCUCGAGGAGCAUUUGCCGAAGCAUGACAAGACCAUACUCGCACAGAAGCUCGAGAUCACGGAGAACUACUUCCUCGGGAUCUUCUGCGUCGAGGCGAGCCUCAAGAUCCUCGCCCUCGGCUUCGUCCUCCACCGCGGCUCCUAUCUGCGCAACAUCUGGAACAUCAUGGACUUCUUCGUCGUGGUGACCGGGAUCAUCACGGUGUUCUCGGCAGGCAUAAAACUGGAUAUGGAUCUGCGCACGUUGCGUGCGAUACGCGUGUUGCGACCGCUCAAACUUGUCUCCGGCAUACCGAGUCUUCAGGUGGUGCUCAAGUCUAUCAUUAAGGCAAUGGCGCCGCUUCUGCAGAUCGGCUUGCUGGUACUCUUCGCCAUCGUGAUAUUCGCCAUCAUCGGCCUCGAGUUUUAUUCAGGAACCCUGCAUAAAACGUGUUACAAUAUAGAAAACAUCAAUGAAAUCGUAAAGGAGGGCGAGCAGCCGAGCCCGUGUAGCGCAGACAACAAAAAGGAUGCCCCGUUCGGGGCCCACGUGUGCGACGCGAAUCGCUCGACGUGCAUGGAUCACUGGGAGGGACCAAACUCGGGCAUCACCAGCUUCGAUAACAUCGGAUUUGCCAUGCUCACUGUCUUCCAGUGUAUCACUAUGGAGGGCUGGACUGCCAUAUUGUACUGGACGAAUGACGCUCUUGGCAGCACGUACAACUGGAUUUACUUUAUACCAUUGAUCGUCCUCGGGUCAUUCUUCAUGCUGAACUUAGUUCUCGGUGUCUUGAGCGGAGAGUUUGCGAAGGAGAGAGAAAAGGUGGAGAACCGACAGUCCUUCCUGAAGUUGCGAAGACAGCAGCAGCUUGAACGCGAACUGAAUUGUUACCUCAAUUGGAUCUGCAAAGCAGAGGAGGUGAUACUCGCCGAAGAGAGGACCACGGAAGAGGAGAAAAUGCACAUAUUAGAAGUAAGAAGAAGAGCAGCGGCAAAGAAGAAGAAACUAAAGAAUCUCGGCAAAAGCAAGAGCACUGACACGGAGGAGGAGGAAGGCGAGGACGACGGUGACGAUGGGUUCUCAAGAGCCUCCUACUUCAAAUCGAAGGUAAAGAAGCAGGGCACGUGCCUACAGUUCUGGCGGGCUGAGAAAAGAUUCAGGUUUUGGAUACGCAGUUCCGUCAAGUCGCAAAAGUUUUACUGGUUCGUCAUCAUUCUUGUGUUCUUCAACACCGUUUGCGUGGCCGUCGAGCAUUACAAUCAGCCACAGUGGCUCAGCGAUUUCCUCUACAUUACAGAGUUUGUGUUCCUGGGCCUCUUCAUGAUGGAGAUGUUCAUAAAAGUCUACGCGCUCGGUCCUCGCACAUACUUUGAAUCGAGCUUCAAUCGCUUCGACUGCAUCGUCAUCUUGGGUUCGAUCUUCGAGGUGAUCUGGACCGCGCUGAAGUCCGCCUCUUUCGGCCUCUCCGUCCUACGUGCCCUUAGACUCCUGAGAAUUUUUAAGGUCACCAAAUAUUGGAAGAGCCUGAGGAACCUCGUGAUAUCGCUGCUAAGCUCGAUGCGCAGUAUCAUUUCCCUUCUCUUCUUGCUCUUCCUGUUUAUCCUCAUAUUCGCGCUGCUCGGUAUGCAGCUAUUCGGUGGCCAAUUCAAUUUCAACGACGGCACGCCGCCCACUAAUUUCAACACCUUUCCCAUCGCACUACUCACUGUCUUCCAAAUCCUGACUGGAGAAGAUUGGAAUGAGGUGAUGUAUAAGGGUAUCGAGUCGCAGGGCAUGACCCAUUCGCUCUACUUCAUUGUGCUGGUGCUCUUCGGCAACUACACUCUGCUGAACGUCUUCUUGGCUAUCGCCGUUGACAAUCUCGCGAAUGCGCAAGAGCUGAGCGCCGCCGAAGAGGAGCAGCAAGAGGAGGACAAGGAGAAGCAGCUGCAAGAGCUCGAGAAAGAGAUCGAGUCGUUGCAAAGGCCCGGGGACGCACCGAGGGUGGAAAUCUGUCCUCCAAGUCCAACUCAGAAUUUCAGAGACGGGAGAGUUGAAACCCAGACGUCCGAAGAGAGAAGGCAGGAUGAAGACGACGACAUGGGACCAAAACCAAUGCUGCCAUAUUCCUCCAUGUUUAUACUGUCCCCUACGAAUCCCAUAAGAAGAGCCGCCCAUUGGGUCGUAAACCUUCGGUACUUCGACUUCUUCAUAAUGGUGGUGAUAUCGUUGUCAAGUAUCGCGCUGGCCGCUGAAGAUCCCGUUUGGGAAACCGCGCCGAGAAACCAAAUCCUCGACUGCUUUGAUUACGCGUUUACCGGUGUCUUCACCGUUGAGAUGAUACUGAAGAUUAUCGACCUUGGCGUCAUACUGCAUCCAGGCUCGUACCUGCGCGAGUUUUGGAACAUUAUGGACGCGGUCGUAGUGAUAUGCGCUAUGGUGUCAUUCACCUUCGACAUGAUCGGCAGCUCGGCCGGCCAGGACCUCUCGACCAUCAAGUCGCUGCGAGUGCUGCGAGUGCUCAGGCCGCUUAAGACAAUAAAGCGCGUGCCGAAGCUCAAGGCGGUGUUCGACUGCGUGGUGAACAGUCUCAAAAAUGUCAUUAACAUUCUCAUAGUGUACAUAUUGUUUCAAUUCAUAUUCGCUGUAAUCGCGGUGCAGCUGUUCAACGGCAAGUUCUUCCACUGUACCGACGAAAGCAAGUAUACGGAAACGGAUUGCAACGGUGAAUACUUCGUUUUCGAAGAGGGUAAAAUGAUACCGGUGCCCAAGCAACGGGAAUGGAAAUCCCAGUCCUUUCAUUACGACAACGUGAUGGUGGCCAUGCUGACGCUGUUUGCCGUCCAGACCGGCGAAGGCUGGCCGCAAAUCUUGCAGAACUCGAUGGCGGCCACAUACGAGAACAAGGGCCCCAUCCAGAACUUUCGUAUCGAAAUGUCCAUUUUCUACAUCGUCUACUUCAUUGUCUUUCCAUUCUUCUUCGUCAACAUCUUCGUGGCCUUGAUCAUCAUCACGUUUCAGGAACAGGGAGAAGCUGAACUGCAGGACGGUGAAAUUGAUAAGAAUCAGAAAUCAUGUAUAGACUUUACAAUACAAGCUCGUCCCCUCGAGAGGUAUAUGCCAAAGGAACGAAAUAGCGUAAAGUACAAAAUUUGGAGGAUAGUCGUAUCCACGCCAUUCGAAUAUUUUAUCAUGAUACUCAUCGUAUUGAACACGUUACUACUUAUGAUGAAGUAUCACGAAGCGCCGCCAGUUUUAUUGGACUUCUUGACCAUCGUGAACUUGGUCGUCACACUCCUUUUCCUCAUUGAGUGCAUCCUUAAACUCGUCGCCUUCGGAUGCAAGAACUUCUUCAAGGAUGCUUGGAACACCUUCGAUUUCAUCACGGUGAUCGGCAGCAUCGUGGACGCUCUUGUGAUCGAAUUCGGGGAGAAUUUCAUCAACGUCGGCUUUCUGAGGCUCUUUCGUGCUGCCAGGCUGAUCAAACUACUCAGGCAGGGGUACACGAUACGAAUUUUACUCUGGACCUUUGUACAGUCUUUCAAAGCUUUGCCUUACGUUUGUCUUCUCAUAGCAAUGCUGUUCUUCAUCUACGCUAUCAUCGGUAUGCAGGUAUUCGGUAACAUCGCGCUGGAUGCUGAUACUUCUAUUACCAAGCACAACAAUUUCCAAAGCUUCAUACAAGGUCUGAUGCUGCUUUUUCGGUGUGCCACGGGCGAGGCCUGGCCAAACAUCAUGCUGUCCUGCUUAAAAGGCCGUCCCUGCGACCCUUUGAGCAAGAUAGAUAAAGAAGAGACGGAGGAGGAGGACUCUUGCGGGUCCAACCUCGCCUAUGCCUACUUCGUGUCGUUCAUCUUCUUCUGCUCGUUCCUCAUGCUGAAUCUCUUCGUUGCUGUCAUCAUGGACAACUUCGAUUACCUCACGCGGGAUUCGUCGAUUCUCGGCGCGCAUCAUCUCGACGAGUUUGUGCGGAUCUGGGCCGAGUACGAUCCGAACGCCACCGGUAAGAUUCACUACACGGAGAUGUAUGACAUGCUGAAGAAUAUGGACCCGCCGUUGGGGUUUGGUAACAAGUGCCCGAAUCGGCUCGCGUACAAGAAGCUCAUCAGAAUGAAUAUGCCGAUGGACGAUGACGGCAAGGUGAACUUCACUACAACGCUGUUCGCCCUCAUUCGCGAAAACCUCAGCAUCAAAAUGCGAUGCGCCGACGAAAUGAAUCAAGCCAAUGAAGAGCUGCGGGACACGAUCAGAAAUAUCUGGCCUUUACAAGCGAAAAAGAUGUUAGACCUUUUGAUACCUAGAAACGAAGAGUUGGGCAGAGACAAGCUCACCGUGGGUAAGAUAUACGUCUGCCUUCUGAUACUCGAAAGUUGGAGGUCGACGAAGUUUGGUCAGCUAAAAUCUACCGAACAGAACGAUAACGAUCUUAUCGAUAACGAUAAUGCUGGGCAAAGUCCUGCAGCCCAGGCGCCAUCGGCCUUCUUCAACUGCCUGCUGGACAUGGCGGCGGUAAAUCACACUGGAAAUAAUCACGGAGCCGGAAGUAGGGCGAACAGUCUCGAACCGGUGAUGCGACCGGCCAUCGACGUGAAGCACGAACGACUCAAAGAGCCCAAGGAUGAGGAGGACGGAGCCCUAGGCGUUCUCGCAGCCGCCGAGCACAGACGUCAGCAUAGCAUCAGAAACAAAAAGGUGAACUGGAAGAUGUCUCGCCAGUACGAUAUACUAGGCAGCAGCGGAGAGAGUAGCCAGGGAGGGGGUGGGUCUGGGGUUGCACUCGUAGUUAAUGGCGAGGAUCGCGCCCCUGAGCUAGAGCCAUUGCUGGCCGAGGUGCCCUCCCAGCGGGAUGAUCAAAACAACUACUACCACGACCAUCACCAUCACGACCAAUACUACUACGAUACCGACAAUGAUCAAUACUAUGACCAAUACUACCACCACCACCACCACCACCAUCACCAUCAUCAUGACCACCGACCACCCUCGUACUACCAACACCAGAACACCUACGCACCUCGCUCCUCGAUCCGUUACCACAAGGAUCUGCAAGACGUCAUACCGUCCGACUCACGUGCCGGUAGCCUCGAGAGUCUCACGCAUCCUGGUGACAGAGGACUUCGUCCGCAUUAUCCCUCGGCGCCUUCUAGACGUUCACGAUCACCAAGUAUAAGAAGACACUCGCCAAUAAUGCCUAGAUCGCCAUCGCCAAGGCGACAUGGCCGAUAUGACCAUCACGGUCAUUAUCACGAAGGACCAGGGUUUAGCGACACCGUUAGCAAUGUCGUCGAGAUACAAAGGCACACUCAACAUCCCCACGCGUCACAAUAUAAUCAUCGGCAUAGGAUACGAGGUACGACGUACCAGCGAUAAUUCCAACCAGCGAAAGCGACGACGGUGCAACGAUAAGUCUUUUUCACGGAACCACGACAGCGAACUCUAUUUCGUGUCCAUGGAGCGCCUCGACAAGUCCGGCCAGGUCGCCAAGCCCGGUUCAUAGGAUCGAGCGUGGUGGCCGUUACGGCACGACGAGUCUGGAGCAGCGUUCGAGGAGCCCGAGUCCGAUAGGCGGCGGUCGUCC
rnacentral:misc_RNA from 1 species